CAGCAGCCCGAGUGGUGGUCGUUUUUAUAGGGCCUAAAGCGUCCGUAGCCGGUCUAGUAAAUCCUUGGAUAAAUCGUACAGCUUAACUGUACGGCUCCCAGGGAGACUGCUAGACUUGGGACUGGGAGAGGUCGGAGGUACUCCAGGGGUAGGGGUGAAAUCUUGUAAUCCUUGGGGGACCACCAGUGGCGAAGGCGUCCGACUAGAACGGGUCCGACGGUAAGGGACGAAGCCCUAGGGCGCGAACCGGAUUAGAUACCCGAGUAGUCC
rnacentral:rRNA from 1 species